AUAUCUCUCUGUACGGGAAGGAUGAGAAGCUUCGACCAAGGUUCGAUUCGAGCGUCAGCGAGAAAGCGUUGCCGCAGGCAACGACCCGAAGGGCGAAGCGCGCAGCGCUGAGUCAUCCUUCCCCCAC
rnacentral:sRNA from 1 species